CUUGCGGCCAUAUCAUGUUGAAACUCCUGUUCCCGUACGAUCACCGAAGUUAAGCAACGUCGAAGCUUGUCAGUACCUAGAUGGGUGACCGUUUGAGAAUGUCACGUGCUGU
rnacentral:rRNA from 1 species